AGAGCGAACGCUGGCGGCGUGCUUAACACAUGCAAGUCGAGCGGAAAGGCCCUUCGGGGUACUCGAGCGGCGAACGGGUGAGUAACACGUGAGCAAUCUGCCUUUAGCUCUGGGAUAGCUCCGGGAAACCGGGAUUAAUACCGGAUAAGACCACUUUAGACAUCUGUUGUGGUGGAAAGAAUUUCGGCUAGAGAUGAGCUCGCGGCCUAUCAGCUUGUGGUGGGUAACGGCCCACAAGGCGACGACGGGUA
rnacentral:rRNA from 1 species